rnacentral:rRNA from 1 species
UGCGUAGGUGGGCAGGUAGGUCAGCGGUGAAAUCCCCGAGCUUAACUUGGGAACUGCCAUUGAUACUAUCUGUCUUGAAUACCUUGGAGGUGAGCGGAAUAUGUCAUAUAGCGGUGAAAUGCUUAGAUAUGACAUAGAACACCAAUUGCGAAGGCAGCUCACUACACGGUCAUUGACACUGAGGCACGAAAGCGUGGGGAUCAAACA